AAACCAUGGUGUGGACAGCUCCUUAGUAAAUCCUUGAAACAUUCCCAACAAUCGUACAAAGUCUCAUUCUCUUGCUGAAGAAACCCUACUAUGUCAUUCCUCAACUU
rfam:Ricinus communis cultivar Hale ctg_1100012358104, whole genome shotgun sequence.